AAUUAUCCAUUGAUGGCACAGUAAAAUCAUGCAGAAUAGUCUACGGAGGUCUGUCUCCCCACUUCAACAGGGCUUCUGCAACAGAAACCCAUCUGAUCGGGAAAAAGUUAUUUACCAAUGAGACGUUGCAGUCAGCUCUGAAUAUCUUAGCAAGUGAGAUUAUAGUAGUCAAAAAUCCACCAGAGCCAUCUGUGGAGUACAGAAAGCAACUUGCUUUGGGAUUGUUUUAUAAAGGUAUAAUGUCUAUAUGUCCCGCACAUAUAUUAGGAUCCCGUUACCGGUCUGGACCUAUCAAAAUCCGAGAAACAAGGCCACUUUCGGAAGCUCGUCAAAUAUUUGAUACAAACCCAAAGUUAUGGCCUCUGAAUCAACCUAUUCCGAAGAUUGAUGCAUUGAUUCAAUGUUCUGGUGAAGCUAAAUUUGUGGAAGAUAUGCCGACCUUACCCGACGAAGUGUUUGCUGCUUUCGUUCUAUCAACUGUACCUUUAGGAGAUAUUGUAUCAAUAGAUGCGAGUGCUGCUCUGAAAAUGCCAGGAGUAAUAGCAUUCUACUCAGCGAAUGACAUACCAGGUGAAAACUCGUUUACUCCAGCUGGUACCACAUUCUAUGUAGCCAAUGAAGAAAUAUUUUGUAGCGGACAAAUCAAGUACUACAAUCAACCGAUCGGCAUGAUCGUAGCUGAAACCGACCUAUUGCAGAACGAGCUGCGAAAGUAGUCAUAGCAACAUAUAAAAAUGUUAGGAAACCCCUACUUAGCAUAAAAGAUGCUAAAAAAGACCCAAACAGGAACACUUUGUUCACAUCAACGACUGCUGAAUCUAGAGGUACGGAUGUUGUAAAGACGUUCCAAGGCAGUAACACGAUUUUUGGGCAGUAUCAUUAUACGAUGGAGACACUGUGCUGCGUCUCGAAGACGUCUGAAGAGGGAUUAGAGGUUCAUUCUGCAUGUCAGUGGAUAGAUGGCACCCAAGUCAUGACGUCCAAGGCUUUGAAUAUUGAUUGUCACAAGAUAGAUGUCCACUUACGCCGUGUUGGAGGUGCAUUUGGGAUAAAGAUCUCCCGCAGCAUCAAGUGGCUGUAGCUUGUAGUCUCGUUGUGCAGAAACUGAACAGGCCAUGUCGAUUCAUACAAUCAUUGACCACCAAUACAAAAGCUCUUGGCAAGAGGCUCUCUUGUUCUACUGAUUAUGAGAUUGGUGUGAAUAAUUCUGGAGUGAUCCAGUACAUUAACUACAAACUUUAUGAAGACAAUGGGUACAAAGUUAACGAAACUCUCACCAUGCUCGGUACUGAUGUGUUCUACAACUGCUACAAUAACUCUAGAUGGAACUAUACGUGCUACGACUCUAUUACUGAUAAGGCAAAAAAUACAUGGUGC